rnacentral:rRNA from 1 species
GCGGUAAUUCCAGCUCCAAUAGCGUAUAUUAAAGUUGUUGCGGUUAAAAAGCUCGUAGUUGGAUCUGUGUUUCACGCUGUCGGUUCACCGUUUUGUCGGUGUCUAACUGACAUGUCGUGGUACGUCCUGCCGGUUGGCGGCGUUGGCGUUUCCUUACGGUUGCGUCGCGUCUGCCAGUCCCAAUCCUGUCGCGGUGCUCUUCACCGAGUGUCGAGGCGGGCCGGCACGUUUACCUUGAACAAAUUUGAGUGCUUAAAGCAGGCUAUAAUCGCCGGAAAACUGUGUGCAUGGAAUAAUAUAAUAGGACCGCGGUUCUAUUUUGUUGGUUUUCGGAACUGAGGCCAUGAUUAAGAGGGACGGCCGGGGGCAUUCGUAUUGCGCCGCUAGAGGUGAAAUUCUUGGACCGGCGCAAGACGGACCAGAGCGAAAGCAUUUGCCAAGAAUGUUUUCAUUAAUCAAG